AGUAUAUAAUUGAAAACUCUUCCAGAUGUCUAAUUUUAGGGGGGGGGUAUGAUAUAAACGGGAACGCGCAAGUUUACACUUACAGUUGUGAUGCGCUUUCACUUUGAAAGAUAUUCUGUGGAUAUUACAGAGUUAACAGAAAACACUGAGGUGGAGGAACAUGAAGAACAGGGCGGCAGUCGUCAGGUGUAGGCAAAUCAUUUAUACACAGGACAGAGGACACAGCGCAGAUGAAUCUCCGGAAGGCACUGAACAUCGCAGAAAAUGUGGAAAUGCACGAAGGUUAUUAACGACGCCUCGCUUCGAUGUCCCGACAUAAACUUACGCCUUAUGGCUGCUGUGACACGGAGGCAGUGCGGUGUGUAGGUCUUAAUGCAACUUGACGACUCAUCGCCCAUACAUCCUGUGAAUGACCUUUUUGCUAAAGCCUAACGUCAUCGUCUAGCAGUAGGUACAAUUCCGCAUCACCGAUGACCAGGGUGAAGUUGUAGCAGACGAAAUUUUAGACAUACAUUAGUAAGGCAGUAGAGGGCGUAAGCUGUCAGUUUGUACUCCUGUAUAAACUCUGGGCGCCACACGGGCUACGAAGAGUAAAUAAUAAAUAUAAGUCACGGAUAUCUGAAAUAAACAACUUGUACUCUGUAUAAACUCGGGCGACACACGGGCUAUGAAGAGUAAAGUAACAGUCACAAAUACGUGAAAUACAAGACAUAGAACUUUUAAGUGCUAGAGAGGAAUACAUAAAAUGUGAGAGUUAACUUAAAAUGCAGAAAUCAAUGUACAUGUUGUAUAUAAAAUGUACAUUGUUCGAUUUUCUUUCCCUUGAUUGUAAAUCUGAGCUAUACAUCUAACAAUCACAUUCUUUUGUUACUUAUUCAAAAACUGAAUGACCUGGCUUACCAGUGAGAAAGUACAUGUCUGAUCAUGUAGAAAGGAAAAGCACUUUAUUAAUAAGUUGUUGUUCUUUUUUUAGAAUCGUUUUUCUUCUUCUCGUGAAGUGGAAACAAACCUCUGAGAUGGCGAUCAAGAAAUCGUGUGCAUGUCUGUAAACUGGUGAAAAGACUCCAGAAAUAUGUGUCCAUUGGGAGCCUGAAAAUAAUGACAAAUAUUCUCCUCUAUCAUAAAUGUCAUAAAUUCAUUGUGAUAAAGGGCGAGAUCUUGCUCAUUUCUCGGUGUAACAAUUCAACACAGUUUUCAAAAAUCUCCCCUACAGCCUGCAUAUACAUGUACAUGUAUGUAUUGCAGUUUUUGCUUGCUUUGAGAUAAAAAAAAUGUUCCUCUGGUAAAUGGAGUCUUUUAGGCAUCUCUGUAGUGAAGAUGUCUCAGAACUGGUGGUUAGCUACUUUGGUGGAGAUUUAUAGUGCAGACUGCCCAGCAGGGUCCCUAAGUACUAUACUUUGUUAUGUUGAGGUGUCGGUGGUGGUCAACCCUCGGGUCCCCUGGGAAUGGGGACGGGGUCUUCUGGAAGAUCCGGGGACUAGCUGGUUAGCUGUGGCGGAUUAGUCUUUUUAAUCACACAGACUCCAUGUUAGACUAUGCUUUAUUCAGCAUCAAUAAAAACACUAUCAGACUUUCAAUAUGAAGAGCUCCCUUAAGGGGAGAUAAACAAUAUAAAGAGUGCUCUUAGGGGUAGUCUGGUCCCCCUUCCCACAAUUCUGUUCGCGUACUCUCUACAUUGAGGUGAUAAUUGUAGGCACAUCAUUUCAGCUUGGAGUAUAAGAAAGAAAUAAUUUGCAUUUAUUAGAGGAUUAAGAAAAACAGGUUUGUAAAUGUAAUCAUAAGCAGACUCUGCUAUCAGGGUUGGCAAGAAAGUGGUCAGUAUGAGUAUUGAUCGGGUUGGUGGUCAAUACAAGUCAAUACUGGUUAAAACCGGUCAAUACUGGUAGAUUGAAAACUAUUUGGUCAUUAUAGUCUGUGUUAUUUAUUCUACAUGUUUAAGUUACCCUUAUGGUAUAUACUGUAAUUCAUAACAUGCACUAUCAGUUUAAAUUAUACCUAUAAGUCAUAAUAUUAAAUAAAUAAUGUACUGUAAAUGACUCUGUUGAAUUGGGGAAGUAUAAAAGUUUUGAUCUGUUCCAUAGUUUAACAAGAACUACCUAUUGUUUCAAAUCUUCAUUUCAAC